rnacentral:rRNA from 1 species
UACGUAGGGUGCGGGCGUGUCCGGAAUUACUGGGCGUAAAGAGCUCGUAGGUGGUUUGUCGCGUUGUCCGUGAAAACUCACAGCUCAACUGUGGGCGUGCGGGCGAUACGGGCAGACUGGAGUACUGCAGGGGAGACUGGAAUUCCUGGUGUAGCGGUGGAAUGCGCAGAUAUCAGGAGGAACACCGGUGGCGAAGGCGGGUCUCUGGGCAGUAACUGACGCUGGAGGAGCG